rnacentral:lncRNA from 10 species
CCCCAAAGUGCUGGAACUAUAGGCGUGCGCCACCACGCCUGGCCAGCCAAAUCUAUUUGUAACAGAUUUCACUUUCAGAAAAUUUCUCCAUGUAAUCCAAAUCUUUCAUUUUCUAGUACAGACCUCUUUCCCCUUAGCACUCUGUUCUUGAUGACUUAGAAGUGUCGUUUCUCUUCACAUCAUUUGCACGUCAUUCCUUCCUGUCUCCAGCUUCUUCUUCCCAGCCCUCCUCCUCCUCUGCACACAGGAAACCUCAUUCUGUGGUGUGAACAGGGGGAUUCCCGUCUUCCUGAAGCGACUUAGUCUUGAGCUGCCUGUGCCCUUCCCAUCACAGUGAAUGUUGCCAGUUGGGGAUGACUGGGCAGCCAUGGGGAAGGGAAAGAGCAAAAAAAUUUUUUCUUUCUCUGAGACAGGGAGUAAAGCACGUGGCAUCAAGACUGCAGCAGAAGGCCAGGCGCAGUGGCUCACACCUGUAAACCCAGCACUUUGGGAGGCUGAGGGUGGGGGUGGAUCACCUGAGGUCAGGAGUUCGAGACCAGCCUGGCCAACAUGGGGAAACCUCAUCUCUACUAAAAAUACCAAAUUAGCCAGGUGUGGUGGCACGUGCCUGUAAUCCCAGCUACUCGGGAGGCUGAGGCAGAAGAAUCACUUGAACCUGGGAGGCGGAGGUUGCAGUGAGCCGAGAUCAUGCCACUGCACUCCGGCCUGAGCAACGAGUGAAACUCCAUCUCAAAAAAAAAAAAAAAAAGAAAGAAAGAAAGAAAAAGAAAAAAAAAAAGACUGCAACAGAAGCGCAGGGCACCCUGGGAUGCCUGCAGCCUCUCACCUUCAACCUCUGUGCUGGGAUCCAUCAAUUCCCUUCCCAUUUGACUGUCAAAUCAGAAGGGUCUUUGCUAAUUUCAGCAUAAAUUGGGAGAAAGCUGACCUCGAUUUAGCUGGAAUGACAGCAAUGACUAAUUUGUACACCAGAAUUAAUAAAGCUAGCUCUUGCCCCACAGGGAGAGAAAGAUGAUGUGGUUUUCUUGCAUCUGCCCUAACUGAGAUUGCUUUUUGGCAAGGAUAGAGAAAUGCUCAUUCUCCACACUCCCAGGAGGGGGUCUGCUGACAGCUCCUGGACUGUCACCUGAAUUGAGGUGUGACUGGGCCAGGGGUGUCCCAAGCCAACCAGCCAGGCACCUGGACGGGUGGGCUCUUGACCCCCUGAGACCACCAUGGUCUUCGAAGGAGAGUCAGCAGGUCUGGAAGCAAGCGUGCUGGGGA